rnacentral:rRNA from 1 species
UACGGAGGGUGCAAACGUUGCUCGGAAUCACUGGGCGUAAAGCGCACGUAGGCGGCCUUGUAAGUUGGAUGUGAAAGCCCUGGGCUCAACCCAGGAAGUGCAUCCAAAACUGCAUGGCUUGAGUACCGGAGGGGUUCAGAGAAUUCCUGGUGUAGAGGUGAAAUUCGUAGAUAUCAGGAGGAAUACCAGUGGCGAAGGCGCUGAACUGGACGGUAACUGACGCUGAGGUGCGAAAGCGUGGGUAGCAAACAGG